UUAAAUUGAAGAGUUUGAUCAUGGCUCAGAUUGAACGCUGGCGGCAGGCCUAACACAUGCAAGUCGAACGGUAACAGGAAGCAGCUUGCUGCUUUGCUGACGAGUGGCGGACGGGUGAGUAAUGUCUGGGAAACU
rnacentral:rRNA from 15 species